AUGAGUUAAAAAAACAUACCGACAAAUUUAUUCCGUAAAGAUAGAUAACUCCUAUAAAAUUUCAUCGAAUCGCUUCGAUCCAAAUUAGCCAAAAUUUUCUGAGGAUGUAACGAACAAUUUGUAAAAAGAAUUUUGUCGCUAUCUUUUUUUGUUACGAAGGAGAUGCACACACAUGAUAAACAGUGAAUAGGGAGAUAACUCUUACAGAGAAAAUUGUUCGUCUUAGCAGGGUGAAAUUUAAAAGCGCAUAAACUAUACGAUACAAUAUGAGAAAUAUCUAAGCGACAUAUUGCGAAACAAACAUUUAUCGCAAGAACAAAAGUUGGCGGAAAAAAAAAAAAAUAAUAAUAAUAAUAAUAAUAAGAACAAAUAAAUAAGUCUUUCCAAUAAAAGCAUAAUAAUCAGAACAAAUACAAUAAGUCUUUCCACAGAAAAGUGGAAAGACUUAAUAAUAAUAAAUAUAAAGCAAUUGUUUUGAAAAACAAUUGUUAGGCAGUCUUUCCCCUCUGAUGAAUGGAUAAUUGAUUUUUUUUAUUGAUUGAUUUGGAAAAAAAGGGGGGGGGGGUAUUUGUUUUUUUGUUUGUUUGUUUGCUUUGGUAUGGGGUCUAUAUUAUUAUGUUACCGGAGAAGUUUCAUGUUUAGUUUGGAAAGUUUUUCUUUUAUUUUAGAUACAGCGCGCGCGCAAGAUUGAGGAGACAUCACGUGACGCGGGUUUAUAUUAAGAAAAACUUAGUCUUUUUAUUUCUUUUUAGGUCGGGACCUUGAACAGACAACAUGUAUAGAGAUGGAAUGUACACAAUGUAAUUUCUUUUGUCAUUGUAGGAAAUUGACAUUUUGAUCACAGUUCACCAGCAGUGCAUGUUUUGGAUUUAAUUGAUCCGGUGUAACUUUAAAACACAUUUAAUGAUUAUUUUUUGAUAAUGUCCAUUUUUCAGCACCUGUUUGUAACACAGAUUAGUAUUUCAAUCUCGGAGCGGACAUUUUAUUGUAGGUUUUUACUGAGAUUGACGGACCUAGCAAGCGAUUUUUACUGCAUUGCCAUUUCUUUUUUCUAGGAAAAGUCUUGAGAGAUAUCUGCAAAAAGUUUUUUUAUGAACCUUCAGUACAUGUAUGCCCUGCUGACUGCAAAUUUUCAGGUCGAUUGGACUUGUAGUUUCAGAGAAUAUGUGGAUUUUUUUUUCAGAAGAGACGUAAGAACAAUAAUAAAAUAAAAAUUUUCUUGAAUAAUUGAGAGUUUGUUCCUUCAAUAAACUGUCAUAAAUAAACAGUCAUACAUAUUGAUUGAUUGAUUAGUUGGUUGAUUGAUUGGUUGGUUGGUUGGUUUGUUGGUUGGUUGAUUAAACACACGUUUGAUAGGGUCACUUAGAACAAGGGGAAAAAGACCUCAAGAGACCUUGCAUCCCGUAUUAAACGCAUGACACGGAAACAUACAUUAAGUGAUUGAUUGGUUGGUUGGUUGGUUGGUUGGUUAAACACGUUGGUUAAACAUGUUGGUUUAACACGUUGGUUAAACACGUUGGCUGGUUAAACACGUUUGAUAGGCUCAAUUUAAACAAGCGAAAAAAAAACCAUCUUGGAUCCCGUAUUUAACACAUGAAACGGAAACAUGCAUUGAUUUAUUUAUUGGUUGGUUGGUUGGUUGGUUGGUUGGUUAAACACGUUGGUUAAACAUGUUGGUUAAACAUGUCGGUUAAACACGUAGUUUAAACACGUUGGCUGGUUAAACACGUUUGAUAGACUCAAUUUUAACAAGCGAAAAAAAAAAACCAUCUCGGAUCCCGUAUUUAACACAUGAAACGGAAACAUGCAUUGAUUGAUUGGUUGGUUGGUUGGUUGGUUGGUUGGUUGGUUAAACACGUUGGUUAAACACGUUGGUUAAACACAAUUGGAUUAGGCUCAAAAUUGGAUCCCGUAUUUAACACAUGAAACGGAAACAUGCAUUGAUUGG
rnacentral:lncRNA from 1 species